CUUUGACCAAGCAAACUGAAGCCAACAGAAGAGAAAUUUCACCUGCAACUCCCAGCACAUCCGCUUGCCUUCUGAUGUCUGUGACUUCACCCUCGCUGCCCCACCUCUUAUUACAGAUUGAACAGGAUCCAGGGGGAAUUACCAAGCCUGUCCCAUCGGACAUCCUGUGUGUCAUGUUCUGUGACCCAGUGGAUGCUCAGCAUCCUCCAGCUGAAGAAACAGA